UGAGUAACACGUAUCCAACCUGCCGUCUACUCUUGGACAGCCUUCUGAAAGGAAGAUUAAUACAAGAUGGCAUCAUGAGUCCGCAUGUUCACAUGAUUAAAGGUAUUUCCGGUAGACGAUGGGGAUGCGUUCCAUUAGAUAGUAGGCGGGGUAACGGCCCACCUAGUCUUCGAUGGAUAGGGGUUCUGAGAGGAAGGUCCCCCACAUUGGAACUGAGACACGGUCCAA
rnacentral:rRNA from 1 species